rnacentral:tRNA from 1 species
GGUCUCGUAACUCAACUGAUAGGGUGUACGCGUACAAAGCAUACGAGACAUCCAUGCGUGGGUUCGAAUCCCACCGAGGCUG